rnacentral:rRNA from 1 species
UACGUAGGGUGCGAGCGUUGUCCGGAAUUAUUGGGCGUAAAGAGCUUGUAGGCGGUUUGUCGCGUCUGCUGUGAAAAUCCGGGGCUCAACCCCGGACUUGCGGUGGGUACGGGCAGACUAGAGUGUGGUAGGGGAGACUGGAAUUCCUGGUGUAGCGGUGAAAUGCGCAGAUAUCAGGAGGAACACCGAUGGCGAAGGCAGGUCUCUGGGCCGCUACUGACGCUGAGAAGCGAAAGCGUGGGGAGCGAACAGG